AUUGAACGCUGGCGGAAUGCUUUACACAUGCAAGUCGAACGGCAGCACGGACUUCGGUCUGGUGGCGAGUGGCGAACGGGUGAGUAAUGUAUCGGAACGUAUCCAAUAAUGGGGGAUAACUAAUCGAAAGGUUGGCUAAUACCGCAUACGCCCUGAGGGGGAAAGCGGGGGAUCGUAAGACCUCGCGUUAUACGAGCGGCCGAUGCCGGAUUAGCUAGUUGGUGGGGUAAAGGCCCACCUAAAGCGACGAUCCGUAGCUGGUCUGAGAGGACGACCAGCCACACUGGGACUGAGACACGGCCCAGACUCCUACGGGUGGCAG
rnacentral:rRNA from 1 species